rnacentral:misc_RNA from 1 species
CCUAAGAGAUACGUGUUAUGUGCAGUGCUCACACAGAUUGUCUGAUGAAGAACGAGCAAAAGCGCGUCUGCGAAGCUGACAAAAGUCCCCUUCGUCUAGAGGCCUAGGACACCGCCCUUUCACGGCGGUAACAGGGGUUCGAAUCCCCUAGGGGACGCCAAUGCGCGGUACGAGUGAAAGGCGUACCACUUAUCUGACGAGAGUCAGAGAAUAACUAAGCUAAUUCAAACGAGUUAUCUUACUUAUUAUGCUCUUUAACAAUCUGGAACAAGCUGAAAAAUUGAAAACAAAUCAAUAUAUCAACGAGGUAUAUUGGUGAGUCUCUCAAAAUCUCAAACCUUAAAGUUUGUCACACAAAGUUUAUCUUUGAAAAAGACACUUUCGGGUUGUGA